UACGUAGGUGACCAGCGUUGUCCGGAUUUACUGGGCGUAAAGAGCGCGCAGGCGGUCGUUCAAGUCGAGUGUGAAAGCCCCCGGCUCAACUGGGGAGGGUCACUCGAUACUGAUCGACUUGAAGGCGGGAGAGGGAAGCGGAAUUCCCGGUGUAGUGGUGAAAUGCGUAGAUAUCGGGAGGAACACCAGUGGCGAAGGCGGCUUCCUGGACCAGCACCGACGUUCAGGCACGAAAGCGUGGGGAGCAAACAGG
rnacentral:rRNA from 1 species